UCGCCCGCCGCGCCCCGCGCCCGUCCCGCCGCCCCCGCCCGCUCCUACGGGAGGCAGCAGUAGGGAAUCUUCCACAAUGGGCGAAAGCCUGAUGGAGCAACGCCGCGUGAGUGAAGAAGGUUUUCGGAUCGUAAAGCUCUGUUGUUGGUGAAGAAGGAUAGAGGUAGUAACUGGCCCCUAUUUGACGGUAAUCAACCAGAAAGUCACGGCUAACUACGUGCCAGCAGCCGCGGUAAUACA
rnacentral:rRNA from 1 species